rnacentral:sRNA from 1 species
GGGUUGAGCCUGCCGCUGCCUUGGCUACCAGGCUCCUCAGGUGGCAGCGCUUGCAGUCGGGCUACGGAGGCCGGGUUGCGAGAUUACUGGAAAGCCAUUUAAGAAAUUCCUGGAAUAAUAUUAGUCAGAGUAAUAUAGGAUCUGCAGGAAGUGCCUCAAGAUAGUUGGAAAAGAAGAAUUUCUGGACUCUUCAUCAAGAUCUUCAUUUAUACAGCUGUUAAAUCCAAGGCUACUUUGGUGAAAGCAUGAAUAAAAAUACAUCUACUGUAGUAUCAUCCAGUCUACUUGAAAAGGAUCCUGCCUUUCAGAUGAUUACAGUUACCAAGGAAACAGGCCUUGGCCUGAAGGUACUAGGAGGAAUUAACCGGAAUGAAGGCCCAUUGGUAUAUAUUCAGGAAAUUAUUCCUGGAGGAGACUGUUAUAAGGUAAAAAUAUGUCCCAUGCCCACCAAAAAUA